UCCUGGUUAACCCAGGCAGUCUCAUUAGAGUCCCCACCUUAAAUGUUGGCAACUAAUGAUAAGGGUUGCGCUCGUUGCGGGACUUAACCCAACACCUCACGGCACGAGCUGACGACAGCCAUGCAGCACCUAUGCAGCAGUCCUUACGGAAUGCACUAUUUCUAGUACAGUCUCCUGCAUUUCGAGCCUGGGUAAGGUUCUUCGCGUUGCAUCGAAUUAAACCACAUGCUCCACUGCUUGUGCGGGCCCCCGUCAAUUCUUUUGAGUUUCACCCUUGCGAGCGUACUCCUCAGGCGGUAUACUUAUCGCGUUAGCUUCGACACAGUCAGGGUUGAGCCCAACUACAUCAAGUAUACAUCGUUUACGGCAAGGACUAC
rnacentral:misc_RNA from 1 species